rnacentral:rRNA from 1 species
UACGAAGGGGGCGAGCGUUGUUCGGAAUCACUGGGCGUAAAGAGUGCGUAGGCGGUUAUGAAAGUUAGAAGUGAAAGCCCAGGGCUUAACCUUGGAAUUGCUUUUAAAACUACAUAACUCGAAUUCGGGAGAGGAUAGCGGAAUUCUCAGUGUAGCAGUGAAAUGCGUAGAUAUUGAGAGGAACACCAGUGGCGUAAGCGGCUAUCUGGACCGACAUUGACGCUGAGGCACGAAAGCGUGGGGAUCAAACAGG